UACUCAAUUUGAUGGCACUGCCUUGAGACC
rnacentral:piRNA from 1 species